rnacentral:rRNA from 1 species
GACGAACGCUGGCGGCGUGCUUAACACAUGCAAGUCGAACGGACAGGCCCUGCUUUUGUGGGGUGCUCGAUUGGCGAACGGGUGAGUAACACGUGAGUAACCUGCCCUUGACUUUGGGAUAACUUCAGGAAACUGGGGCUCAUACCGGAUAGGAUCUCCUGCUGCAUGGUGUGGGUUGGAAAGUUUCGGCGGUUGGGGAUGGACUCGAGGCUUAUCAGCUUGUUGGUGUGGUAGUGGCUUACCAAGGCUUUGACGGGUAGCCGGCCUGAGAGGGUGACCGGCCACAUUGGGACUGAGAGACGGACCAGACUCCUACGGGAGGCAGCAGUGGGGAAUAUUGCACAAUGGGCGGAAGCCUGAUGCAGCAACGCCGCGUGCGGGAUGACGGCCUUCGGGUUGUAAACCGCUUUCGCCUGUGACGAAGCGUGAGUGACGGUAAUGGGUAAAGAAGCACCGGCUAACUACGUG